GGGGAUGAGAAAGCAAGAAUCGCAUGCCGAGGACUCCUGGCUCCUCGUAAAUCAUCCGGGAAACAACACAACUGCCAACAACGAAAUGGCACUUGCUGCCUGAUCUAAAAGUCAGGUGAGCUAGCGUCUACCGGUACCAGUGCCUGUCCUGGUCCGGAGGCGUCGAGAUGACAGGAUGGCUUCCGGAACCCGCCUGGGUUCCGCUAGCGACACAGAUCCAGGCUCGCGGCGAAAAGGGUGUGUCCUUUCUCCCUCUAGUGGCCAGACAAAAAAAAGGGCUAAGCAUGUAGUGGUUCUUAGCGGACUGUUUCCGGACGCGGGUUCGAUUCCCGCCGCCUCCACCA
rnacentral:tmRNA from 17 species